ACCUGCAUUCGAAAGUGACCUGGUCAUUGAUAGUGCAGGGAGAGGAACUUGUGAAAGCUUUUCCCGUGUUUGGAGGGCUCAUCCUCAUUCCUACCAAACCCUGUAACUUUCAGACA